CCGUCCCAAAUCCGUUUAAUAUUUUAUUUUUAAUAUCCGAACCCGUCCCGAAUCCGUUUAGCAAUACCCGCACAAUACCCGAACCCGAUUUUUUUAAUUCAAUUCGAUGAGAAAAACUGCCAAAUAAACUACACCUAACAGUUGCACAACCGCAGUGUGUUCAAUAACAAGAACCAGCAACUCAGCAACCCAGCAAAUAAUGAUUUAUAAUCAUAUAAUCA
rnacentral:lncRNA from 1 species